AGUGAACGCUGGCGAUAGGCCUAACACAUGCAAGUCGAACGGCAGCACAGUAAGAGCUUGCUCUUACGGGUGGCGAGUGGCGGACGGGUGAGGAAUACAUCGGAAUCUACUUUUUCGUGGGGGAUAACGUAGGGAAACUUACGCUAAUACCGCAUACGACCUACGGGUGAAAGCAGGGGAUCUUCGGACCUUGCGCGAUUGAAUGAGCCGAUGUCGGAUUAGCUAGUUGGCGGGGUAAAGGCCCACCAAGGCGACGAUCCGUAGCUGGUCCGAGAGGAUGAUCAGCCACACUGGAACUGAGACACGGUCCAGACUCCUACGGGAGGCAGCAGUGGGGAAUAUUGGACAAUGGGCGCAAGCCUGAUCCAGCCAUACCGCGUGGGUGAAGAAGGCCUUCGGGUUGUAAAGCCCUUUUGUUGGGAAAGAAAAGCAGCAGGUUAAUACCCCGCUGUUCUGACGGUACCCAAAGAAUAAGCACCGGCUAACUUCGUG
rnacentral:rRNA from 1 species